GCUGGCCAACUUUCUUGGCCAUGAUAUUAGAAUCCAUCGCAAGUUCUAUAGACUCCCUGAAAAGACACUGCAGCUGGCAAAAAUCAGCAAAGUUUUGAUGGCACUCGAGCAAGGUCGAUUAUCAGAGUUCCAUGGCAAGAACUUAGAUGAAAUCACAAUUGGUCCUAAUGAAAGUGUUGUGGAAACUGAAGAGGAAGAUCUUACCAGAGAGGACGAAAACUGUUCAUUUCCUGAUAAUGAAGAGGGGGCCUUUCCAACCACUGAUGAGGAAGCAAUCCCACCCCCCAAGAGACUGACACAA